rnacentral:sRNA from 1 species
GCAGCUGCUACGGGGCCCUCUGGGUGAUCAGUACCAGACGGUGAAGGCCCUGGCUGAGCGCAAGGCCCAGGGUGUGCUGGCUGCACAGGCAAGGGCAGAACAACUGCGGGAUGAGGCUCGGGACCUGUUGCAAGCCGCUCAGGACAAGCUGCAGCGGCUACAGGGUAAGAAAUGGGGCACCAGAGACACAGGACUGCGGGAAACCCCCCCUAAACUGACACCUGCCCUUCCUAGAAUUGGAAGGCACCUAUGAGGAAAAUGAGCGGGCACUGGAGAGUAAGGCAGCCCAGCUGGACGGGUUGGAGGCCAGGAUGCGCAGCGUGCUUCAAGCCAUCAACUUGCAGGUGCAGAUCUACAACACCUGCCAGUGACCCCUGCCCAAGGCCUAUCCCAGUUCCUAGCACCGCCCCACAUGCAUGUCUGCCUAUGCACUGAAGAGCUCUUGGCCCGGCAGGGCCCCCAAUAAACCAGUGUGAACCCCC